GGCAUCGGUGAGUCGGCAUCAGGGUCGGUCAGUAUAUCCCAACAUGCCCAAAACUUGAAAGCUACUACAUCCUCAAUGGCAAAUAAGGUCCUUUCAAACCAAUUUUUUUGGCUCUACAAAAGAUUGCUUAGCCAAUGGCAGGAAACCUGAGAGCUUUAUUUGACUGGGAGUAGAAGGCUGCUGCAUCUGUAGCAAUAAUCAUCCCAUUGUCUUUCAGAUGAUGCUUUUUUUGAAGAGUGGAAGGCUGCCUAAAUUGAAGUAGCAAUCUUUCCCAUACUUUUGAUGAGAGACUCUUCACAGUUUCUCACAUGAGCUGAUUGUAAACUGAUGAGAAAAAUCAUCAAUUUUCACGUCCAAAAACAUAGAAAUAGAAAAGAAAUACUCAUUCAGAUUUCAAUCGCUCGUAUUCUUAAGCUGCUCCAGUGCCACUACCUUCUUUUGUCAAUCUCCCUAACCAGAUGCCUUUGUUCUUAUGGAGAAAUGGGUGAAGAAAGAAAGAUGGAAAUGAUCUAGAUUUGAUAGAUUUUUUAUUCAAUCUUAUUUUUUCUCUUUGACAUCUCUAAAUACUUCUCCUUCUAUUUAAAAAAUAGAGAUUUUUUUCUCUAUUAAAACUUAAGUAUCCGAACUCUCUCUCUCUCUCUCCUACUUAAGAGGUAAAGGAUGGCUUUCGGAAGGCCUUUCUCCUAUCCACAUAUAUUUUUUUCUAUCCCUUCUCUCUCCAAAUCUUAUAAGUCAUGAUGAUGUAGUGUGAAAUGAGGGCACCUAAUACGGAAUGGUUUGCUGACAUGGCACAAACAUGGCAAUCAGGAUGUGGCUAUUUUUAAUUUUUUAGAAACCAUCAAAUCUAAUUUUUUUUUUCUCUCUUCAAACGGGAGUCUAGAGCACCCUAUGAAAUGGUGCCUUAUGGCCUAUUUGAAAUGGCAAUUCAUGUCGCCAUGGGGGUGCUCUAAACUCUCCCUUCAUGUAUAAAAAGAUUAGAAGG
rnacentral:lncRNA from 1 species